GGCGGCGGCAACGCCUAGUUUAGCAGAUGACUGGGCGUUGUGCGUGGACUUUCUAGGAAGGAGGAGAGGGAAUGCGGGGCAUGUGGCCAGGCUAGGCCAGGUGGUGUGUGUGCAGAUAAGCUUGGAGCUAGCGGGACGGGGACGGCUGGAAGGCUGGAAGGUGAGGCAACUGCCAGGAUGAGGGGCAGAGUUCAAGCCUGCAGGCCCCGGAGGACCAGGAGGGAGGAUGGAGACGCUUCCUCCAGCAGCCCCGAGGAAAGCGGAUCUGCCCGGACCCCGGGAGUGUGUGCAGAGGCCGACCCUUCCCCUGGGGGAGCCUUCAGCUGGGCCUUCAGACCUGGCCCACACCAGGCUGCGGCCCGUGGCAGGCUCCGGGCAGGGGCCAGCAAAGCCCGCUCGAGCCCGAAUUCCAGACCCCAGAACAGUUCUUUUUUUUUUUUUUUUUUUUUCCCAGAAUAGUUCUGGCUGUGAUGUGCAUGCUGGGAUGAGCCACAGAAGUGAGGGGUCACUCAGAGGCAGCGCACGUGUCCCGUCCGGCUGGAGGCUUCUCCGCAUCCCAAUCCGGCUUAGGGUGGCGCCAGGGCCCCUCCAGUCACUUCCUGCUCCUCCUCCAGCCCGGAGCAGGCCCAGGUCAGCCAGCGUCGCCCACUUUUGCCCACCAGCUGGGGGACCCCGGGCAGGUGCACCCAGCCCCGGACUGUAGGCCAGGCCCGGAGUCGGCUACUCUGAGGAGAAGCUGGGGGCCCUGCGGUCGGGGUCCCGGCCCCCCAGCACCCCUCCCACCGCGGGCCCCCCCCCCCCCCCCCCGCCGCGACCCCGCCCACCUCGGGUGCCCUGGGUGCCCCACCUGGGGGCUAUUCCCGGGCGUCCCGGAAGC
rnacentral:lncRNA from 1 species